rnacentral:tRNA from 1 species
CAGGGAGACAACAAAAUGUUUAAUAUUAUUAUUUUGUCACCUUAGGUCGAUCGGUAUCUCACGUUUUUAAUUUAUUAAGAAUUUCAUUUCCUAAGUUUUUCUAGGUCACACCCAUUAUUUUUCCUGGGCCAUUAGCUCAGGUGGUUAGAGCGCACCCCUGAUAAGGGUGAGGUCCCUGGUUCAAGUCCAGGAUGGCCCAUAUCUCUAUGUUGGGGGUAUAGCUCAGUUGGUAGAGCGCCUGCUUUGCAAGCAGGAUGUCAGCGGUUCGAGUCCGCUUACCUCCACUGAUCACCACCUCUUCCAUAAUCGGUAGAAAGGAAAUUUUUUGAGUUGUGAUCAAAUUCUGAAAGAAUCUAGCUUCCUAAUGAAAUCAUUAAGAUGCUGGACUCAUUGAAUUAAUUUCAUGGUUUUCAGAGAACCUUGAAAAGUGGAUAGAUUAUUUUUAAAGACAAUAAGCAUCUUUAAUGAUGCAGAUUUAUUAUUUGUGCAAUGCAUUAAUAACAAUUCUAUUAAGCUGAUGCUUCAUAUUUGAAGUUAUGU